rnacentral:piRNA from 1 species
UAGAUAGCUGGUAGUCCAGGAGUGCUGC